GACCCUGCGCAGUGGCAAUAUCGUAACCAAUGAAGGUCUCCUGAGGUGCAAUUAUUACUAGUUGACAACUUUUAAAUG
rnacentral:snRNA from 1 species